rnacentral:snRNA from 1 species
GGAUGUGAGGGUGAUCUGGUUGCGACAUCUGUCACCCCAUUGAUCGCCAGCGUUGAUUCGGCUGAUCUGGCUGGCGAGGCGGGUGUCCCCUUCCUCCCUCACCACUCCAUGUGCGUCCCUCCCGAAGCUGCACACUUGGUUGAAGAGGAUGACCUUCCCCGAAUAGAGGAGCACCGGUCUUCGGUCAAGGGUAAAUGAGUAGCCGUGCUCCCCUGCUAGAACCUCCAAACAAGCUCUCAAGAAAUAUAUGAAUACACCUAAGACUUUCAGUAAGGCAAUAAAUACUGCACUUCCCUUUCUUGGAAUUGUAACUGGGAAGAUUCCUUUAAAC